rnacentral:rRNA from 1 species
GAUGAACGCUGGCGGCGUGCUUAACACAUGCAAGUCGAACGAAGCACUUUUAUUUGAUUUCUUCGGAAUGAAGAUUUUAGUGACUGAGUGGCGGACGGGUGAGUAACGCGUGGGUAACCUGCCUCAUACAGGGGGAUAACAGUUAGAAAUGACUGCUAAUACCGCAUAAGACCACAGCACCGCAUGGUGCAGAGGUAAAAACUCCGGUGGUAUGAGAUGGACCCGCGUCUGAUUAGGUAGUUGGUGGGGUAACGGCCUACCAAGCCGACGAUCAGUAGCCGACCUGAGAGGGUGACCGGCCACAUUGGGACUGAGACACGGCCCAAACUCCUACGGGAGGCAGCAGUGGGGAAUAUUGCACAAUGGGGGAAACCCUGAUGCAGCGACGUCGCGUGAGCGAUGAAGUAUUUCGGUAUGUAAAGCUCUAUCAGCAGGGAAGAAAAUGACGGUACCUGACUAAGAAGCACCGGCUAAAUACGUGCCAGCCGCCGCCGUAA